ensembl:lncRNA
CCAUCGAGGUAGGACGAGAUUAUGAUCAUAAAAUAAAAUAGAAAUCUGCUAUUGAGCUCUGCUCCUCCGUCAGUGGACACGAUGCCUUUGUCUCCAUCCACGGAGCGAAAGACGCGUAGGAGCAAGUGACGUGAUGGACGAGGACCAACGCCGACGGCAGGUCGCUUUUCACUGAAUAGAACCAACAAAAGAACUCUCGAGCCUCCGUUAAUUACGAAGCGUUCCGGUCGAUUACCUCAUGAAGCCGAAAGAAUGCGAAGCUGCAUCGAAGCAAAACAUCAAAGUGAUUCUGGGCCUGAAGGACGACGUGGAGGAGGACACCCUGCUGGGGACGUUCACAUACGAGUAGCACGGAGGAGCCACGCAGACGUUCCAGCUGCCGCUUCCUGUCCUGUGGGUCGUGUGAGAUGCAUGUACUGAUAAAAUAUAUUAUAACAUUGUUUUGUGCUAAAGCCGUGUCUCAAGUGUCCCGUAUUUGACCCUGAAGUGCAAAGAGCAGCAUGAUACAAAAUGUUGCUUUGCAGCUGUGUCCUGAGAAGGGAGGACGGUCAACUUGAUCUCAUAGAAGCUUCAAAACAAAGGACUUCUGUUCAUGGCCUUGGUUCAUAUCUUAUUCGGUACGAAAAUUCCGGAUCCACGUUUUUACUUUAUGUCAAUUAAUAAUGAUUUCCAGCGGCCACUGAGGAGGAUCUUGUGUGUGUGUGUGCUGCCCUCAGCUUCACCUGGGUUCUUAUCUCAACCUGCUUUGUAGCUUCUCGUAACUGGCACGGAGAAUGUUCUUCACGUGUGUAUAAAAACUCAGCGUUUUCACUGCUCGGAGACGUCAUUACGCCGAGCGCUGAGAUACGUGCUGGUGUGUUGGACCUCCUGCUUGCAAGCAAUAGUUAGAGCCAGAUGUCUGCGGAGAAUUGCUCAUGUAAUCUUUUUCUCUUCUAAAUUUAUGUUUGAAUAAAUGUUCAAAACAAGGUAAGCAGAAACCUGUUACAUCUAUUUCUGCAUAUUGCAUAAGCUAAAGUAAGGAGUACGUUGUGGAUUGGUGGUGUAAGAGCCAAAUUAAUAUUAUUCUCUAAAAAAAGAAAAAAGAAAAGAAUUUAAAAAAAUUGCAGCAUGGGGUUUGAACACCGCCGAGUGUUGGUUUGCGUACCGCCGGAUACGGGAAAAGUACUGCAGUGCUUAAGGUCUGGAAUCCAAAAAAGAAGUGAUUACUGUUGUUUAGUGGGUACCUGGGUGUACCAUCAAAGGAAAGGAAUCAAAGGAAUCGAAGGGCGCUGAAGAUUGGGAAUAAAUAAAUUAACUAUGGUUUAGUGGAUACCUGCGAGUAUCAAGGGAUUGAAAAUCUGACAUAAAUGAAGGGAAUUGAUUCAGAAUCAAUAUCCUGGUCUCUGGUUUGGCAACCCCUUCAGACACUGACGAGGGCCGAUUUCGCGAGGUGUGGGCUCCUGGGGAUCUGGGGACCCCGAA